CAAGCGGUGGAGCAUGUGGUUUAACUCGAUGCAACGCGAAGAACCUUACCUACUCUUGACAUCCACGGAAUUCGGCAGAGAUGCCUUAGUGCCUUCGGGAACCGUGAGACAGGUGCUGCAUGGCUGUCGUCAGCUCGUGUUGUGAAAUGUUGGGUUAAGUCCCGCAACGAGCGCAACCCUUAUCCUUUGUUGCCAGCGAUACGGUCGGGGACUCAAAGGAGACUGCCGGUGAUAAACCGGAGGAAGGUGGGGAUGACGUCAAGUCAUCAUGGCCCUUACGAGUAGGGCUACACACGUGCUACAAUGGCGCAUACAAAGAGAAGCGACCUCGCGAGAGCAAGCGGACCUCAGAAAGUGCGUCGUAGUCCGGAUCGGGGUCUGCAACUCGACUCCGUGAAGUCGGAAUCGCUAGUAAUCGUGGAUCAGAAUGCCACGGUGAAUACGUUCCCGGGCCUUGUACACACC
rnacentral:rRNA from 1 species